rnacentral:tRNA from 1 species
GGAUGUUGCUCAGUGGUAGAGCUCUCACCUCACACUUUCGAGGCCCUGGGUUCAAUCCUCAGCACCA